UUCCCGGAACCGGAAGUUGGGGCUCUAGCGCUCUCCCCCUGCCGGGAAUCCUGCCAUCGCCGCAGCAUCGCCCCAGAGGAGCCGCUCCCUCCGGAGCCCGAGUGACCCCUCUCCUCCCAGGACCCUCCGGGCUCGGUGUUGGGGCAGUCACAGGGAUGAGAACCUCCUUCCUGCCCCUUUAUCGCUCCCUCUCCAGGUGAGGCUCCGAGGAGGAGAAAUGGCCGCCAGGCUCCGUCCCCCCUGACUCUUCCUCGGGCCUCGGGGUCAGAAAAGCGGCUGGAUCCGGGAGGACCCUGGCGGCCCGAGUGACAAAGGCCGCUUUUCCUCCUGCGCUGGAAUCACGUCAUGUUGUUAAACCGCAUUUGGGGGCAAUUGUUCCAAUUCAUGGUUGGGACAGGAGGUCUGAAAUCAAACAGACAAUUCCAGACAGUUGGAAGAUAGACCUCAUUUGACAUCAGAUUAUCCAUACUGUGAAAGAUCUUAAGAAUGUAAUGACUAUGGGAAGACUUUCUGCCUGACUACAGCUCUUAUCUAAGGGAUGUGUCGAGUGUUAGGAUUGACUAUCUAUCAAUUACAGCCAUUAAAUGACAUUUUAAGGAGAGACAAUGUUUUAAACUCACCACACCAGCUUACAAAAGAAGCUCACGAGGCUUUCAGAGAACUGGAACUGACUUUAUCCAAUGUGGUUGAAUGUCAUUCAAAAACCCUUGGAAAUACCAGUUUUUGCUACACAAGAGGCACCCACAGCAGUCCUUCAUCAAGCAGACAGUGUGUGAUAGAGUGGGUGAACCUCCCAACACAACCAGAACAAACUCUUAAUCUUUACCCAGUGCCUAUGGCUAGUCUUAAAAGUCAUUGAGCGAGCAGUACAGUUAUCUGGGAUAAGAUAUACAC